rnacentral:rRNA from 1 species
UGACCGGCCACACUGGGACUGAGACACGGCCCAGACUCCUACGGGAGGCAGCAGUGGGGAAUAUUGCACAAUGGGCGCAAGCCUGAUGCAGCGACGCCGCGUGAGGGAUGACGGCCUUCGGGUUGUAAACCUCUUUCAGUAGGGAAGAAGCGAAAGUGACGGUACCUGCAGAAGAAGCGCCGGCUAACUACGUGCCAGCAGCCGCGGUAAUACGUAGGGCGCAAGCGUUAUCCGGAAUUAUUGGGCGUAAAGAGCUCGUAGGCGGUUUGUCGCGUCUGCCGUGAAAGUCCGGGGCUCAACUCCGGAUCUGCGGUGGGUACGGGCAGACUAGAGUGAUGUAGGGGAGACUGGAAUUCCUGGUGUAGCGGUGAAAUGCGCAGAUAUCAGGAGGAACACCGAUGGCGAAGGCAGGUCUCUGGGCAUUAACUGACGCUGAGGAGCGAAAGCAUGGGGAGCGAACAGGAUUAGAUACCCUGGUAGUCCAUGCCGUAAACGUUGGGCACUAGGUGUGGGGGACAUUCCACGUUUUCCGCGCCGUAGCUAACGCAUUAAGUGCCCCGCCUGGGGAGUACGGCCGCAAGGCUAAAACUCAAAGGAAUUGACGGGGGCCCGCACAAGCGGCGGAGCAUGCGGAUUAAUUCGAUGCAACGCGAAGAACCUUACCAAGGCUUGACAUGAACCGGUAACGCCUGGAGACAGGUGCCCCGCUUGCGGUCGGUUUACAGGUGGUGCAUGGUUGUCGUCAGCUCGUGUCGUGAGAUGUUGGGUUAAGUCCCGCAACGAGCGCAACCCUCGUUCUAUGUUGCCAGCACGUGAUGGUGGGGACUCAUAGGAGACUGCCGGGGUCAACUCGGAGGAAGGUGGGGACGACGUCAAAUCAUCAUGCCCCUUAUGUCUUGGGCUUCACGCAUGCUACAAUGGCCGGUACAAAGGGUUGCGAUACUGUGAGGUGGAGCUAAUCCCAAAAAGCCGGUCUCAGUUCGGAUUGGGGUCUGCAACUCGACCCCAUGAAGUCGGAGUCGCUAGUAAUCGCAGAUCAGCAACGCUGC